GAAGAAAGACUUCUCGACGCCGAGACACUGCUGGUGGUACUCGAUAUCACGUGGAUGGCAGGAGCAGUGGCAAAGGACUUUCAACUGACAGACAAGCAUGAGAUGGUGGUCAGCUACCUCCCACUCAGCCAUAUUGCAGCACAGAUGAUGGACAUCUGGGUACCCAUAAAGAUUGGGGCGCUCACAUACUUUGCUCAAGCAGAUGCUCUCAAGG
rnacentral:lncRNA from 1 species